rnacentral:tRNA from 1 species
AAUGAGUUGGCAGAAUAGUGCCACCGACUUAGGAUCGGUUUAUGGAAUUAUCCACUUAUUAUG